AUUGAACGCUGGCGGCAGGCCUAACACAUGCAAGUCGAACGAGUGGCGGACGGGUGAGUAAUGUCUGGGAAACUGCCCGAUGGAGGGGGAUAACUACUGGAAACGGUAGCUAAUACCGCAUACCAUCGGAUGUGCCCAGAUGGGAUUAGAUAGGAGGUUGGGUAACGGCUCAACAAGGCGACGAUCCCUAGCGGGGCUGAGAGGAUGACCAGCCACACUGGAACUGAGACACGGUCCAGACUCCUACGGGAGGCAGAAGUGGGGAAUAUUGCACAAUGGGCGCAAGCCUGAUGCAGCCAUGCCGCGUGUAUGAAGAAGGCCUUAGGGUUGUAAAGUACUUUCAGCGGGGAGGCGUUACUCACAGAAGAAGCACCGGCUAACUCCGUGCCAGCAGCCGCGGUAAUUC
rnacentral:rRNA from 1 species